rnacentral:lncRNA from 1 species
AGAUAAGACAACUAAAGCAGGAACAAUAGCUGGAAACAUAUGUUGCAAUGCGAUUACUGUGCACUUCGCAAUUAUCUCUGGUGCUACUUUAGAAAAUUCAUAUACAAAAGUAAACAUGUUAGGCUUCAACUAGGUAGACUCAAAGAAGAUAUGGUAGUCAUUGAGAGCCUUGUAGCAAGUAGCAGGAACAGGAUGUCCAGGUAGACUCAAAGAAGAUAUGGUAGUCGUUGACAGCCUUGUAGCAAGUAGCAGGAACAGGAUGUUAUCUGAUCCAUCGACAAGGAUCUCAGGUUUAACAAUGGGAAAAACACAUGCAACCUUAACCACCACCUCCACAUCG